rnacentral:lncRNA from 1 species
UUCUAAUGUGAAGACCGUGCCAAGAGGCGCCGACCAGUGUAACAGCUCUGUGGAUAGUCGGUUCCGAAGAAAGCCACCCUGCUCUUUCUCAGCUCCAAUGUAUUUGUUACACUGAUAGAGAACUUGGGGCCCAGAGAGGGAGACAGUCUGCCCCAGGCCACACAGCCAGUGGGACAGGCACACUGGAUGGUGAGGAAGCCGGGUGUCCAGACUCGGGGUCCAGCACACAAUGCUGGUGCCGUUGUUACUCCGGUGGGUGGGGCCCAGGCUUGUGCCAGGUUCCCUGGGCAGGGCUGUGGGACAAUGACAGGGGCUGGCUGUAUUGUGUGCAGCCUGGGCAUGAAGUCCACAAGAAGACACCCGAAGAGUGACAGUGGGAUCAAAAUCAGGCACUCAGGAUGACAGAGGCAAAGGACCAGGCAAGCCCAGGGGGGCAGCCCAAAAGCCCUGGAUUGGCCAUGGGUGGCCUGGGUCCCCAUCCUGCCUCUAACACUAAGUGUCCUUUGACCUUGAGGAAGUGCCUGCUGCCUCCCGGGGCAGCACUCACUUCUUCAGCCCCCGCUGUGCUGUUCCAGCUCUCACGGACUCUCCUGGGCACUGUUGUUGGGAGGGGCACGGGACAGGUGAGAACAGAGGUUUUUUAAGUGACAGGAUGGGUGAGGACUCAUAAGGAAACAGAUUUCUCUUCCUGUUCUCACUCCCCUGCCCUCCUGUGGGCAGCUGGUGCCUGCUUGUCAGAGAGAAAGGAAGCAAUGCACUUAUUCAUGGAAAAUGCCAAAAAGGAAGGGAGGGAGGGAAGCCAGCAUUUUUCCCCUCUCUGUUUUGGACGCUUAGGUUGUAGAAUCUUCACUUCUAAUCACAUGGGGAUUGGAAGCAUGAGGCCUGAGGUUAGACUUCCUGGGUUGGAAUCCCGGCUGCUCUGCACCCCAGCUGUGUGAUCUUGGGCAAGCAAGGCGACUUCUCUGAGCCUCAGCUCCCUCAUCUGCAAAAUAGGGCUAUCAUAUCCCCUCUGUGAGAGUCAGGCUCCACGUCCGUCCCGGGCACUGAUGAUUGCUGUUUACACGUGAAUUGUCUCUCUUGCUUGAGUUUUUAAAAAUAAACAGCGUAGUUAAUGUGUAGACUGUGCUCACCGUGCCGGGCUCUGUUCUAGGCACUUCCAUGUAUGAACUUGCUUGACUCUUCUACAGCCCUGUUAGUGAUGUGUUCCUAUUCGGGCUGCCGCUGGACAAAUGGGGAGAUGGAGGCCUUGGCGGUCCGGUCUCUCGGUAAAGGCCACCUAUCCUUAAAGUCGCAGGGCUGGGGCUGAACCUAGGUUUCGUUCACUUCAGGCUCGUGUGUUAUCCACGACUCCUGAGGUCUCCUGACACCCAGGCCACGGCCCAGAAGUCAGGCUGCUGUGGUACCCACUUGUCCCCCAUCCCCUCCAGCGUUUGCCACCCCAGCUGAGUCUGUUCCCCUCCAUGCACACUGUCCCCCUCUCCCCACUGCCAAACGAUCUUGCUGAGCCCUCUGUGGGGCACUGGCCAAGGUCCUGACUGAUUAUUGACAAAUUAAAAAUAUAAGCUAUUGACCAGACACUGGGCUGGAGUCCCAGAGCUGAGGACCUGCAUCUCAAUGAGGCAGCUGAGCGUGGAGAUCGAUGCUGCAGGU